UGCGUAGGCGGGUUUCUAAGUCAGAGGUGAAAGCCUGGAGCUCAACUCCAGAACUGCCUUUGAUACUGGAAGUCUUGAGUAUGGCAGAGGUGAGUGGAACUGCGAGUGUAGAGGUGAAAUUCGUAGAUAUUCGCAAGAACACCAGUGGCGAAGGCGGCUCACUGGGCCAUUACUGACGCUGAGGCACGAAAGCUGGGGAGCAAACA
rnacentral:rRNA from 1 species